rnacentral:lncRNA from 1 species
UUGCACCCUCCACCAGCCCCAGCAGUGGCUCCAGCAUCACCAUCAUUUUACUAUCCCCCACUUCCUUCGUCGCCAUCCCCGCCACCAGUGGCUGCUUCUGCUCCUGUGAGCUCUCCACCUUCAAAAGCAGCACCUGCCUUACCUUCCCCUGGAAAAGAAAGCAAAUCAUCUCACCCUCCACUGAAAUGUCCAAUGGCAGGAACCUUUUAUAGGAGUCCAGCACCUGGUGAACCUCCCUUUGUCAAGGUAUGUAAACUGUAAAGUGUGACCUACAUGGUUUAAAGGCAUACUUCUUUUUCUGUUGAGGUGUCAAUAUGCCAAGGCUACUACUGUAUAUUUACUACAAGGAAGGAAAUCUGUUCUGAAUUUCAAAGAUUUGUCACUGUGUUUACUAAAUAAUAUAGUGAAUUAGUGAUUAACCUAAAUUUAUGUUGCUGUUGCUUCAGGUUGGAGAUAAAGUGCAGAAAGGACAGGUUAUUUGCAUUAUUGAGGCCAUGAAACUGAUGAAUGAAAUUGAGGUUUGUGUAUUUUUUUUUCUGUUGGUUACUAUAUAGAUUAUCCUCCCAUAACCAAGUGCAGAAACCUUAAUUUCUUGGUUACCUUUCAUUGCUUGGUGACAGGCUGAUCAAUCAGGAACAAUAACUGAGAUAGUGGCUGAG